rnacentral:ncRNA from 1 species
UUAUGGUAUGAAAGGAGAGAACAUUAGUACUCCCCUUGGCAAGGAUGGAGAGGCUCUCGGGCCUGAUGACGCACAUACAGUUAAGGCAUUGCCACCUACUUCGUGGUAUCUAACCAUCGUUUAAA